rnacentral:rRNA from 1 species
AGAACGAACGCUGGCGGCAUGCCUAACACAUGCAAGUCGAACGCUCUUGAGGCUUCGGUUUCAAGGGAGUGGCGCACGGGUGAGUAGCGCGUGGGAACCUGCCCUGUUGUGGGGGAUAACCGAGGGAAACUUCGGCUAAUACCGCAUGCGCCCGGGGAAACCCGGGAAAGAUUUAUCGCAGCAGGAGGGGCCCGCGUCGGAUUAGGUAGUUGGUAGGGUAACGGCCUACCAAGCCUUUGAUCCGUAGCUGGUCUGAGAGGAUGAUCAGCCACACUGGGACUGAGACACGGCCCAGACUCCUACGGGAGGCAGCAGUGGGGAAUAUUGGACAAUGGGCGCAAGCCUGAUCCAGCAAUGCCGCGUGAGUGAUGAAGGCCUUAGGGUGUAAAGCUCUUUCGCCCGCGACGAUGAUGACGGUAGCGGGAGAAGAGCCCCGGCUAACUUCGUGCCAGCAGCCGC